GCUAGCUUUGGCAGCACAAACUUAAAUUAGAAUGAUACAGAGAAGAUUAGCAUGGCUCCUGAGCAAGGAUGACAUGCAAAUUCAUGAAGUGUUCCAUAUUAAA